ensembl:lncRNA
AUAAGGGGGUUCCAUUGCAUUGAGGUUUCCAAGCUCGGAUAACCCACGUUCUAUCUCUCUCCGGUCAGAGCGGCCAGCGGUCCCCCAGUGCUGGAUCAUAGGGGACGUUGCCUACGGAGAGGAUGUCACCCUACGCUGCUUCGCUUCGGCAGGAUCCCCUCCUCUCAACUACCGUUGGGCCAUGACUCAGGGAGAGCAAUUCAGGGACUGGAUUCCCCCUGGAGGAUCGCUGGGCUCCGUCCCGGGAGAUCUUCACAUCUAUAACUUGGGGGACGAGCAUGUCGGUACCUACCAAUGCAGUGUGGGCAACAAUGUGGGCGUAGCUUACUGCUCUGUGGACAUUUCACUUGAUAACGGCGUCUACCGAGGCUGGAUCGUUGGAGGGUCCGUCCUCACCGGCCUUCUCGUCUUGGCCCUACUUAUCGCCGGUAUGGUCUGGUGGUGGUGCUGCCGAGCCGGAUGGUGCCCCAGCUGCUACUGCGGAGAAGAUUAUUGCUGGGAUUGUAUUUGCCGCUGUUGCAUCCGCCCAACGAAGCAGGAGUGCAUGCAGACCAAGGCCAAUGAGAUCUGCCUAGACGCCGAUGCUCCCCCAAGCCGGCCGUGCAGUCAAGCCUUCAGUCAAGACAGCAGCCUCCGCUCCUUGCUCGGCCACCGGCUGAGAAGCACUCACUACCCGCAAGGCUGCAAGUAUAUACCCCCCGUUGCUCAAGUCAAGAUGACAUCAUCCCCCCCGGACAGCGACACGAGCCUUGUUCUGGCCCCAGACCUCCUGUCUCCCCAUAGUUCAGAGCAAAGUGACACCUUCGACCCGUACUACCACCCAAAGCGAAGGGAUCCGUACUCUCUGCCCGGCUGCUCUCGCCCGUAUGUCAAAGGCGAGAGCCACCACGACUCCGUUUCCCAGUCUCACAUCUACUCGGACCCCCAAAACGUCAGCGUGCCCUCAACAGACCCGAGCGGGGUCCACUGGAACGACGGCGCCGCCAAACAGUACAAGGGCAAAGUGGUGAUGAUGCAGUCGUCAAGCAAAGAAGGGCUUCUGAUAUGAGCCCGGAGCGUGACACUGACGUCUUAGGCCAAGGGUUACCCAUUGGGCCGACCCGAAACUCUCUGAUUUUUUCAGAAGGCGGAAACAAACCUAUCACUUUGUCUCUAAUAAUUAGAAUUAUUUUCUUUCCUCUCCGCCCCAGAAAGGAAGACAUUCUCUGAAUGUCAUAAAUUCUUAACAAAAUUAGGGGUUGGACCAAAUUCUCCCCACGAUGGCCGAGUGCCGUCGGUCCAAGCCAGCUUGGACGAGGACGAAAUCAUCGGGGUGGGGUGAGGGGAGGCAAAUCCCAAUUUGGCUAUCUGCACCGACUUACCUUGGGCCAGUCAGCAUCCCCCGGAUGGACCUACCUUCUGGGAGUGUCGUGAACGUGUACGCCGUCUCCAAUUCCCUGGAAGAAAAGUGGGGUAUAAAUGGAAAUAUUUUUGUAAAAAAAAUCAGUAAACGGCUAUGGGACACAGUAACAAAUGGGUAGGCGCACUGCGUACCUCAUCGCUCAUCUCAUAUCUGCUUGCAAACUUCCAGAUAAGGAUUCUCAGCGCUCCUAAUUCGAAAACUUUUCGCUCAUCUCAUAUCUGCUUGCAAACUUCCAAUUCGAAAACUUUUUUUGUCCACGGAGCGCUUUGCUCCUUGAAAGGAGCCAUAGAAAUGUGUAAAAACAUCAAGAUUUAGCUUCUUAUCUUAAUUUUUUGUGUGUGUGGAAAAAAAAUAAAGUCACUGUUUUGGAAACCA